CCCCCUAAUGACGCUGGCGGCAUGCCUUACACAUGCAAGUCGAACGGCAGCACGGGGGCAAUCCUGGUGGCGAGUGGCGAACGGGUGAGUAAUACAUCGGAACGUGUCCUGUAGUGGGGGAUAGCCCGGCGAAAGCCGGAUUAAUACCGCAUACGCUCUACGGAGGAAAGGGGGGGAUCUUAGGACCUCCCGCUACAGGGGCGGCCGAUGGCAGAUUAGCUAGUUGGUGGGGUAAAGGCCUACCAAGGCGACGAUCUGUAGCUGGUCUGAGAGGACGACCAGCCACACUGGGACUGAGACACGGCCCAGACUCCUACGGGAGGCAGCAGUGGGGAAUUUUGGACAAUGGGGGAAACCCUGAUCCAGCAAUGCCGCGUGUGUGAAGAAGGCCUUCGGGUUGUAAAGCACUUUUGUCCGGAAAGAAAACCUCUGGGUUAAUACCCCGGGGGGAUGACGGUACCGGAAGAAUAAGCACCGGCUAACUACGUGCCAGCAGCCGCGGUAAUACGUAGGGUGCAAGCGUUAAUCGGAAUUACUGGGCGUAAAGCGUGCGCAGGCGGUCCGCUAAGACAGAUGUGAAAUCCCCGGGCUUAACCUGGGAACUGCAUUUGUGACUGGCGGGCUAGAGUAUGGCAGAGGGGGGUAGAAUUCCACGUGUAGCAGUGAAAUGCGUAGAGAUGUGGAGGAAUACCGAUGGCGAAGGCAGCCCCCUGGGCCAAUACUGACGCUCAUGCACGAAAGCGUGGGGAGCAAACAGGAUUAGAUACCCUGGUAGUCCACGCCCUAAACGAUGUCAACUAGUUGUCGGGUCUUCAUUGACUUGGUAACGUAGCUAACGCGUGAAGUGACCGCGU
rnacentral:rRNA from 1 species